CACUUAAACAUUUUCAAGUCACUAAGUCACUUCACAAGUUACCAAACUAAACUAAAUUCAAAAUGAAAAGUUCACAUUUCAAGUACCCACACCUAAACAUUUUCAAGUCACUAAGUCACUUCACAAGUUACCAAACUAAACUAAAUUCAAAAUGAAAAGUUCACAUUUCAAAUACCUACCCUUAAACAUUUUCAAGUCACUAACUCACUUUUCAAGUGACCACACUUAACUAUAUUCAAAACACAAGUCCACCUUUCAAGUAACUACACUUAAUUAAUCAUUUUCGACUCACUAAUGCACUUUUCAAGUGACCACACUUAACC
rnacentral:lncRNA from 1 species